rnacentral:lncRNA from 1 species
CAGAGAAGGAACGGGCAAGCCAGCCCUGUGUGUAUUGCACCCAUGAGGACGGCAAGGCAAUCAAGGACAUCCUGUCCAUCAGGAUGACCCACUGAAACUCAGGCAAGGCUGAAACAAGGGCUAGCCUCAGGGCGGCCACUGCACGGGCCAAGGAAGGAAGUAUCUGAUGCUAGCUAGGGCGGGAGGCUUGUGGCUGAGCAUAGACACAACUCCUGUUGGUAAAAGAGAGACAAACAAAGCCCCAGCCAAAGGGAAGGCAAGGUGAAAGGCAAGGCUACCCGGAGACUGUUAAGAAAGGAUCGUGGCAGAGCUGCAGCCGGACAGCCAGGCCAGAGCAAACAGGCUGGAACAGAGAGUCCUGGGGCCUGUGAGCCACUCUACUGUGCCUGACGCGGAGUCCCAUCAGAUACUGAGGCCAGGGCUUCAGCCAGAUGAACUUGGGCACCACAGAGAGCCCCGGCUCAGACAGACCCACCAGGCUGGGAAGGCAGGCCACCGGUCACAGGCUGCCUUCCCCACACCCAGUGCUGUCCUGUCUCCUAAAGUGACCCAGCAGGAACCCAGAGAGGACUUCCAGCUGAUCUAAUGUCUGGUGUGUGACCUUGGUCGCAGCGAAGCGCUGCCAAGUGUCCCUUCCGCUGUGCCAAGGUGGAUUAAGUCAUUUUAUCAGCAGAAUUCUUCCUUUAAAAGCGUGUUUCCAUUUGGAACUUGUAAAAAGUUCCCUGUCUCGGCAGCUGAAAGCCGUGGUUGUGGCACAGUUAGAGCUACCGACGAUUUUCACGGUAAAUGAAGCCGCAGACUGUCCUCUCGGAGGAAACCGACCCCCGGCACCGCCACCCGAACCCCGGUCCAGCCCCCGGGAGAGCCGCGCAGGGGCGAUGUCGCCACGGCGCGGGGACAGCGAGAGAAGAUGGAGUCAUCUUACUUACGUCUGCGACCACGUACCGUUUAAAAAAAAAAAAAAAAAGAAUAACUAAAACUACAACCGGAAUCCAGACUGCUAGGGAACCUGUACCAUAAAGACCAUCUUUGUUGAGGGCAAAAGUCCUAGACAGGAAGUAUUGCGACCAUCUUUGUUAAAGGCAAGAGCAGGAAGUGCUGUAGCCAUCUUUGUUGAGGGCGCAAGACGUCAGGUUGAAGUUUGUUCCGCCAUGUUUGCUGUGGGAAAAGAGGCACACUCUCCUACAUUAAAAAAGAGAGAGAGUGGUUUAAAAACUCUAAGGCAGUAGUUCUCAAUCUUCCUAAUGCUUUGACCUUGUAAUAUGGUGUCCCCCAACCAUAAAAUUAUUUUUGUUGCUACUUCAUAACUAAUUUUGCUAUGUUAUAAAUCCUAGUGUAAACAUCUGUGUUUUCUGAUAAGUCUUACACUGCCACUGUGAAAGGGUUGUUACAGAGCCACAGGUUGAGAACAGGUGAUCUACGUUAUCUAAGUGAAAGAGUAAAUGAAUUGUUGAAUCUUAACAGAAAAAACUCCAUGAGAGCCUGACUAUAAUAAGCUAGUCAAAAGUUAAUCUAGCAGUUAAGCCCUGAGUUCAACUCCCAGUAAUAUACACCUACAUGCACA